rnacentral:rRNA from 1 species
AGUAGCGGACGGGUGAGUAACGCGUGAGAAUUUACCUUUAGGAAGGGAAUAACAAUUAGAAAUGAUUGCUAAUGCCCCAUAUGCUUUAUUAAGUGAAAAGGAUUAUGUCCGCCUGAAGAGAAGCUCGCGUCUGAUUAGCUAGUUGGUGAGGUAAGAGCUUACCAAGGCGACGAUCAGUAGCUGGUUUGAGAGGAUGAUCAGUCACACUGGAACUGAGACACGGUCCAGACUCCUACGGGAGGCAGCAGUGGGGAAUUUUCUGCAAUGGGCGAAAGCCUGACAGAGCAAUACCGCGUGAGGGAUGAAGGCUCGUGGGUCGUAAACCUCUUUUUUCAAGGAGGAAGUUCUGACGUGUACUUGAAGAAUAAGCAUCGGCUAACUCCGUGCCAGCAGCCGCGGUAAGACGGAGGAUGCAAGUGUUAUCCGGAAUCACUGGGCGUAAAGCGUCUGUAGGUGGUUUAAUAAGUCUAUUGUUAAAGUUUGAGGCUUAACUUCAAAUCAGCAAUAGAAACUGUUAGGCUUGAGUAUGGUA